rnacentral:rRNA from 1 species
UACGGGGGGGGCAAGCGUUGUUCGGAAUUACUGGGCGUAAAGGGCUCGUAGGCGGCCUACUAAGUCGGAUGUGAAAUCCCCAGGCUCAACCUGGGAACUGCAUCCGAUACUGGAUGGCUUGAAUUCGGGAGAGGGAUGCAGAAUUCCAGGUGUAGCGGUGAAAUGCGUAGAUAUCUGGAGGAAUACCGGUGGCGAAGGCGGCAUCCUGGACCGACAUUGACGCUGAGGAGCGAAAGCCAGGGGAGCAAACGGG